GCUGGGUGUGUAAGCGUAGUGAUACGUUGAGCUAACCAGUACUAAUGAACCGUGAGGCUUAACCUGACAACACCGAAGGUGUUU
rnacentral:rRNA from 1 species